rnacentral:rRNA from 1 species
GACGAACGCUGGCGGCGCGCCUAACACAUGCAAGUCGAACGAGCGAGAGAGAGCUUGCUUUCUUGAGCGAGUGGCGAACGGGUGAGUAACGCGUGAGGAACCUGCCUCAAAGAGGGGGACAACAGUUGGAAACGACUGCUAAUACCGCAUAAGCCCACGGUGCCGCAUGGCACAGAGGGAAAAGGAGCAAUCCGCUUUGAGAUGGCCUCGCGUCCGAUUAGCUAGUUGGUGAGGUAACGGCCCACCAAGGCGACGAUCGGUAGCCGGACUGUGAGGUUGAACGGCCACAUUGGGACUGAGACACGGCCCAGACUCCUACGGGAGGCAGCAGUGGGGAAUAUUGCACAAUGGGGGAAACCCUGAUGCAGCGACGCCGCGUGGAGGAAGAAGGUCUUCGGAUUGUAAACUCCUGUUGUUGGGGAAGAUAAUGACGGUACCCAACAAGGAAGUGACGGCUAACUACGUG